GCUCCUGCGCUCCGCUCGGCCGCGGGGGCUCAGGGUCUCCGCCUAAACGCCCCGGCAGCGCCGACCCCGCCGCGAGAGUCGGGAGCGCUGGGACGCGCGGGCUCCUCCGCUACCUUUCCCUGGGUUUUCCGGGAUUCGGAGCUGCUCGGCGGCGCCGUUUCUCCUCCUCUUCCAUACCAUACUACUCAAAAAGAUGUCCCCAAGGCGUUACCAGGGCUAAAACAAGGCUCUAACCCUUACGGUGAACACACGCUUGCUUCCAAGGUCUUCGCAGGCCAGUACAGGCGGAAGGGCAAGAGAAUAUAAACUGCCCUCUUUUUAGUCUGUCUAGGUGAGAAGAAACAUCAGAAGCAAUUGAAGGACCAGGAAAUGGGUCCUCUAGAGAUGGGAAUACUGUGCUCUUUUUCAGCCUUGAAAUUGAGUCUACAAACACAUAGCUUCAGGAACUACUAGCAGCCAUCCUGAACCAGGGAAGGAGAAUUUGCUGAAAAUGAAGCCCAUUUCAAGGUUGCAGCACAGAAAAAUUGGUAUAGAAAAACUAAG